AUAUCACUUAAGAUCUCUGAGUCAUCGUAUUCCUAUAUCACAUACCAAUCUUUCAAAGGUUGUAGCAGGCUUAACAUCUUCUGGUGUUCGAACUAUUCGUCAAAAGACUUGACGUUUUGAAGCAUUGUUGAUGCUACAACAUCGGAAUAAAAAAUGCAGAAAAGACAGAGCUGAUAGUGAUAGAUUUUUACCCGAGAAUUUAAUGUAGUAAAACACAGAUUCACCUUAAAUUAAGUUGGACCCCGUUUUAUCCAUUUUGGUUGCACUAAAAUUGAAGAGGAGUAUAAAAGUUUGCAUUCAAGGUUGCCUCCAUUCAUUAUUCAUCAAUCCCUAGAGAUAACAAGACAAGAGAUGAGGGAAGACACUUGGAGAGAAACUUGAAGAAAACAAAACGGGAGCUGAUACAGUGAAGGGUUGCUAUUAUUCUUCAUUUUCUUCUUCUUUUGUACUUUACUCUUAAGUACACGGGCAUUGUAUGCUCUCCUUCCCUUUUCUUGUAUGAUAUUGCGUAGCUAAGUUCAUUGUUAGGGGGAGGAUGUUGUGAACUUGUUAUUGGGUUGUAAACCUUGCUUUAG